rnacentral:rRNA from 1 species
UACGUAGGUUGCAAGCGUUGUCCGGAUUUACUGGGUGUAAAGGGCGUGUAGGCGGAGGAGCAAGUCAGAUGUGAAAUCCCGGGGCUUAACCCCGGAACUGCAUUUGAAACUGUUCCCCUUGAGUAUCGGAGAGGCAAGCGGAAUUCCUAGUGUAGCGGUGAAAUGCGUAGAUAUUAGGAGGAACACCAGUGGCGAAGGCGGCUUGCUGGACGACAACUGACGCUGAGGCGCGAAAGCGUGGGGAGCAAACAGG